AUAGUAGAACAGAAUGCUACGGAGAAUACGUUCCCGGGCCUUGUACACACCGCCCGUCACACCAUGGGAGUGGGUUGCAAAAGAAGUAGGAAGCUUAACCUUCGGGAGGGCGCUUACCACUUUGUGAUUCAUGACUGGGGUGAAGUCGUAACAAGGUAACCGUAGUGGAACCUGCGUUUGGAUCACCUCCUUA
rnacentral:rRNA from 1 species